rnacentral:rRNA from 1 species
UACGUAGGCAGCAAGCGUUGUUCGGAAUUACUGGGCGUAAAGCGUGCGUAGGCGGUUCGUUAAGUCUGUUGUGAAAGCCCCGGGCUCAACCUGGGAAUGGCAAUGGAUACUGGCGAGCUAGAGUGUGUCAGAGGAUGGUGGAAUUCCCGGUGUAGCGGUGAAAUGCGUAGAGAUCGGGAGGAACAUCAGUGGCGAAGGCGGCCAUCUGGGACAACACUGACGCUGAGGCACGAAAGCGUGGGGAGCAAACAGG